AAGGAAGUCCACAUGGCCAAAAGUUUAAAAUCAUGUCUGACCCCCACCUCCUGGACUUCAUGGUCCUACUCUGGCAGAUUCGGCGCAGUGAAAGUUCCGCUGGCUAUGGAGGAGUCAGAUGGAGGACGUGGUGGACCUCCCAGGGGUGCUGCGGUCACGUCACCAUCUCUCUGUGCCUGCUAUGUGCUGCCCAGACAGCAAAGGGCUCCCUCCCUGCUGGCCUCCAAUUCCAGAUAAGUUCAGAUCUUGCCACACAGGAAACCGUAGCUUGUGGGAGACGACUGCCCUGGAGAUAUCCCUUGGUCAGGAUGGAACUUGCCUUUCAUCCGAAGCAUGACUGUAAGAUGUUUGGUAGCUAAAUGUACCCACUUUCUUUACAGGGCCCCACAAUGCUGAGCCCCACAAUGCACCCACAAGCUCUGGUUGCUGCUCCUCAGAUCCCUCCCCUGACUGCUCCAAAACCCAGUGCCUGACCCCACAAAAUCUUGCUUGUUUACCCCAUAAUUUUCUUUUUGGAACCCAGUUUUUGUUUUUUGGCUUGCGUUUAAUAGUACCAGGGAUCGAACCCUGCUUUGAAAAGAGAAGAGCGCUCCCCGCACCGCAGUAGCCCUCCAGCCACGCACAGUGCCCAGACCAGGGAGCUGGUUUCUGAAGAGCUGACCCCAUGGAACAAGCAUGGAGGCGGGGCCCCGGGGACAGGCGGGCAGGGCCCUCCCAGGAUCCCAGGCUGUGGCCAAGGGUGCUGUGGAUGGGGCUGUGGGUCCCCUGUGUGCAGGGGUAGCUCUGUGUCCACAUGUGGCUUGCGUGGGUGUGCAGUGUCAGUCUGUAUUUGCCCGGAUCUGUCUGUGGUGUCUGUGUGUCUGGGUGGCCUCUGUGUACUUGCUAGGACAGAGGUGCAUGCAGGGGUGUGAGCCUGGGUGUGUGAGAUGUGUCGGUUGGUGGUGUGGUGGGUAUGUGAUGUCCGUGUGGUGUGUGGUCAAGUUUCAGGGUGUGUGCGAGUGUGUCCAAGUAUGGUGUAUGGCACUUGCAUCUGCCAGUGUGCCUGUGUGGCUCAUGUUUACACCUGGCACGGGGAUUCAUCCAUCUCAGGGACUCCUGGGAUGCCCCGGCUUCUGCUCUCACACAUCUCCUCCUGGUUUGCAGGAUGAGGGUCUGAGGCUCAGCCGUGCUCCCCAUAUGACAAAGAGGGACUGGGGGUGCAGAGGGGUGUGCAGCAAAGUCGCAAAACAAGUUGGUGACUGGAGCUAAGGCCGGGACCAUUUCUUCAGAUUCACAGUGCAAUGAAUGUAUUGGCCAUGGUGGCGCACGCCUAUAAUCCCAGCAUUUGGGAGGCUGAGGCAGGAGGAUUGAUAUGAGUUUAAGGCCAGCCUGUGUCUGUCUCACACACACACACACACACAAACACACAAUGCAAUAUGCUCUCUCCUGGUCCGCACAGGGAGGUAAGGACAAUCUUCUAGGCUCCGAUCACAUGGAAGGACCUUGCUGGGAUUCAGGGUGAGUGCCUUGGACACUGGGUAGGAAGUGGUGCAACAGAACCUUGAAUGGAGGUUGACAGACAACUCAGAGAAGAUACGGGCUUUGUAUGAUGAGGCAAAGCUGAAGACAUUUUGUAGGUAGUUAUUAACCCACACAGAAUCCAGUAACUUGAAUGCUACUUGAAUGCUUUAUGAAUCAUUUUAUCUUUCCUGGCCAUAUGGCCUGUAGGUCUAUGCAGGUUAAAUAGGAAGAGACAUCAAAGUAAAGAAUGGAACCAGACAGAGGCACAGAUGAGAGGGUCAGAGCCACAGAGGAGAUCACAGAGCAGGGAGGGGCGGCUGACAGGCCACAGGUUGGCCUUUGGAGGUGGGACGAAGUCCCAGGCAUAUGAACCUCAGUCAUAAAGGGUUGGCAGGGGAGAGAUCUGUGGAGAGAAAGACUGUGGAGGCCAGUGCGCCCAUGGGAGGAGCCAUACUGGCCAUGGGCCUCACCUGCAGCUCGUCCGGCUUUUCAUGAAGGGGACCCUCACUGCAGGUCUCAUCGCUAUGGUCCCCGUGCUGACCCUGUGCCCAGGCCUGAAGGCUUCGCUCACUGUCUCAUGUGUUCACCUCGUGAGCUGCAGGCAAAGACAACAGUCAUGGCCACUUUCGAGGCACCUACCCCAGAUGGACCCUCCCUUACCAGAGCGCACCCAUCGCUUCCCCGGAGGCCCCAAUGCCAGCCGCCUCAGGAAUGGAGAAUCGAAGUCUGGUGGGCACCUGGCCUCAUGGGAAGUUAACAGUUUCCAUGACGACAGGGUUGUGGUCCCUCUGAAGGCUGGUGACUAGUGACAGUGGAGAAGAGAAGACCCCUUGGGCCACACCGAGCUGUCCAUUCGGUUGUCCAUCUCGUGUGGAAGGAGAAAAUUGUGUACCGGUCUCCACAGACAGAGCAGGCUCCUGAGGGCGGGACUUUUAGAUUUCCACCAUUUUAUUUAUUCCUGACAUUCAGCAGAGCACAAUAAUAUUCUUUAAUUCAUUGGCUUGUUUGUCUUACCAUGGAGCUCAGGCUGGCCAAGGCCCCCCAGCCUCAGCUCCCCAAGUGCUUGAUUUUACAGGCAUGCGCCACCACGCCCAGCUUUGAAUGAAUUAUUUUUCUUGUGGUAAUGAGCGAGGAUGGAAUCCAGCGCCUUACAAGACAGGCAAGUGAACUACCACUGAGCAGCAAACACUUUACCUAAUUCUGUACUUUGCUUUAGGAAGGACGGUCAGGGGCUGGCUGGAGAGCUGGAGGGAAACAGGGGAGCCCUUGCACGCAUCUUGGGCGUGAUCUGAAUGCUGACGACAGUCCCAGCAUGGCGUGGGGGUUGGGAUCUUCUUCAACAGUUGGACGAGACAGUCAGCUCCCAGGGCUUGCUCGAGAACAAAGAAACACAGUGGCGGGACAGUGGCGACUAGUACAGUUUCAUUCAGAGGCUCUGAGACACCAGGUUAAGGGUGAAUGAGGAUGGUGUUCAUGACUGGAAUAAUGGCCAGCUCGUGGACAAGUGUGGGGUGGACCCUUCCGUGUCAAGACGGUGGCUCCUUUGUUGUCUUUUCUUUUUGCUGAAUCCUGAGCCAGCCCAGACCUCUCUCAGAAGUGGCUUUCCUUUCAUUCAAGGCUUAAAACUUAAAGCAUCAAGCAGCAGUUGCCCCCUCCCGGUCUGGUUUUGCCUGGGGAAAGGCAGCAAGGAACACGUACCGGAAACCGGGACACAGUGCUCCACGCCAAGCAAACUGUCAGGACUGAGUGCAUGUGCAGAAUGGCUCCAGGCAGGCACUGACCUGGGCAGCAAGUCCGAAGGUUCAAAGUCUUCAUCACCCAAUUCCUGACCCCUCUUGCAUCAGCACAGAGAUUAGGCAGUGUGGUGGUGCACACCUGUAAUCCCAGCACUCAGGAGGCUGAAGCAGGAGGGUCCCUGUGAGUUUGAGACCAGCCUGGACUACACAGUAAGAUGUUGUCUCCUAACAAAACCAAAACCACUAAGACCAAAACUCUGUCCCUCCCUUUCAUCAGGGAAAGUGUACAGGUGUGAUGUUUCUCACCUAAGAACCUGCCUCUCUUCCUCCAAAAGGAGAAGGAUUUCUAAGCUAACAGAGAUGGAAAAAAAAAAAAAAAAAGAAAAGAAAAGAAAAGUAUUACAUGAGUUCUUGGAAUAAUGGCAGGGUUUUAAAGGAAUUCUCAUCUGGGGGAUUAGGUGACACGAGAGGCAAGGCUUUGCUAAAUCCUUCUCUUGGAAAGUGUGCACCCCAGGCUUUUGGAAGCAGCAGAUUCAAGGAGCACAUGUCGUCUUGGCCGCCCAGAUCACACAAAGGGCCAUCGCUGGAGCCUCUCUACGCUUGCAGCAAGUCCUGGGCUCAUGCGUAGGGUUCCAGGCCUCCUGGUGAGCAGGAGAAUGGUGUCCCCUUUUCUGGGGACAGGUCCUUCCCUACCCUUCUCAUUUGCAUCUUACAAGGCUCUUGGAUGCCAGAUCCCCAAACCUAAGAAGUGUUUAUUAAACAAAUGUCACCAGGGCCUUGAUGCUC